rnacentral:rRNA from 1 species
UACGAAGGGGGCUAGCGUUGCUCGGAAUCACUGGGCGUAAAGCGCACGUAGGCGGAUUGCUAAGUCAGGGGUGAAAUCCUGGAGCUCAACUCCAGAACUGCCUUUGAUACUGGCGAUCUCGAGUUCGGGGAGAGGUGAGUGGAACUGCGAGUGUAGAGGUGAAAUUCGUAGAUAUUCGCAAGAACACCAGUGGCGAAGGCGGCUCACUGGCCCGAUACUGACGCUGAGGUGCGAAAGCGUGGGAGCAAACAGG